rnacentral:rRNA from 1 species
UUCUAUGGCCGCGCCACUCUGAACGUGCCCGAUCCCGUCUGAUCUCGGAAGCUGCGCAGGGUCGGCCCUUGUUAGUACUUGGAUGGGAGACCACCUAAGGAAGACCAGGUGCUGUAGGCC